rnacentral:rRNA from 1 species
UGGGGAAUCUUGCGCAAUGGGGGAAACCCUGACGCAGCGACGCCGCGUGCGGGAUGAAGGCCUUCGGGUUGUAAACCGCUUUCAGCAGGGACGAGGCCUUAUGGUGACGGUACCUGCAGAAGAAGCUCCGGCUAAAUACGUGCCAGCAGCCGCGGUAAUACGUAGGUCCCGAGCGUUGUCCGGAUUUAUUGGGCGUAAAGCGAGCGCAGGCGGUUAGAAAAGUCUGAAGUGAAAGGCAGUGGCUCAACCAUUGUAGGCUUUGGAAACUGUUUAACUUGAGUGCAGAAGGGGAGAGUGGAAUUCCAUGUGUAGCGGUGAAAUGCGUAGAUAUAUGGAGGAACACCGGUGGCGAAAGCGGCUCUCUGGUCUGUAACUGACGCUGAGGCUCGAAAGCGUGGGGAGCGAACAGG